rnacentral:rRNA from 1 species
UGCAGUCGAGCGGUAGAGAGAAGCUUGCUUCUCUUGAGAGCGGCGGACGGGUGAGUAAUGCCUAGGAAUCUGCCUGGUAGUGGGGGAUAACGUUCGGAAACGGACGCUAAUACCGCAUACGUCCUACGGGAGAAAGCAGGGGACCUUCGGGCCUUGCGCUAUCAGAUGAGCCUAGGUCGGAUUAGCUAGUUGGUGAGGUAAUGGCUCACCAAGGCGACGAUCCGUAACUGGUCUGAGAGGAUGAUCAGUCACACUGGAACUGAGACACGGUCCAGACUCCUACGGGAGGCAGCAGUGGGGAAUAUUGGACAAUGGGCGAAAGCCUGAUCCAGCCAUGCCGCGUGUGUGAAGAAGGUCUUCGGAUUGUAAAGCACUUUAAGUUGGGAGGAAGGGCAGUUACCUAAUACGUGAUUGUUUUGACGUUACCGACAGAAUAAGCACCGGCUAACUCUGUGCCA